rnacentral:misc_RNA from 1 species
GAUGAAGAACGUAGCGAAAUGCGAUAAGUAAUGUGAAUUGCAGAAUUCAGUGAAUCAUCGAAUCUUUGAACGCACAUUGCGCCCGCUAGUAUUCUGGCGGGCAUGCCUGUUCGAGCGUCAUUUCAACCAUCAAGCCCUUUAGCUUGUGUUGGGGACCUGCGGCUGCCGCAGCCCCCGAAAUGCAGUGGCGGGCUCGUUGUCACACCGAGUGCAGUAAUCAUUCUUCUCUCCGGGCGUGGCGGCGGGUUCCGGCCGUAAAAUCACCAAUUUAUCAAGGUUGACCUCGGAUCAGGUAGGAAUACCCGCUGAACUUAAGCAUAUCAAUAAGCGGAUGA